rnacentral:rRNA from 1 species
ACGCACGCUGGCGGCGUGCUUCACACCUGCAAGUCGAACGGAAAGGCCCUGCUUUUGUGGGGUGCUCGAGUGGCGAACGGGUGAGUAACACGUGAGUAACCUGCCCUUGACUUUGGGAUAACUUCAGGAAACUGGGGCUAAUACCGGAUAGGAGCUCCUGCUUCAUGGUGGGGGUUGGAAAGUUUCGGCGGUUGGGGAUGGACUCGCGGCUUAUCAGCUUGUUGGUGGGGUAGUGGCUUACCAAGGCUUUGACGGGUAGCCGGCCUGAGAGGGUGACCGGCCACAUUGGGACUGAGAUACGGCCCAGACUCCUACGGGAGGCAGCAGUGGGGAAUAUUGCACAAUGGGCGGAAGCCUGAUGCAGCAACGCCGCGUGCGGGAUGACGGCCUUCGGGUUGUAAACCGCUUUCGCCUGUGACGAAGCGUGAGUGACGGUAAUGGGUAAAGAAGCACCGGCUAACUACGUG